UGACAAGUCAUUGGAUUACAAGAAGACGAGGAUGAUGGCGAAUGAUUACAGCAGUGUUUUGCCGGGGGAGCAGGUGAAUUUGGAGCCGUUCAUUGCAGCUCUUUCCGAGGUGGGGCAUGUUGAAUUUGUGAGAGCCCCUUCAGCAGCCUAGAAGAGGCCAGUACUCUCGUGGAGAAGAGGAUCCAAGGGGCAUGCAAGCAGAUGACCGGUGAAUUUCCAUUUUCGAGAUGAAAAUGUUGGUUAUUUUUGUGGUUUGGGGGUUUGUCACGGUUAGUGAAUUUUUACGUUGUUCACUUGUAAUAUCCUUAAUGAUUGCCCACUACAAGGCAAAUUACUUCCAGUCAUACAUAAAAUCUCAAAGACACUCUGUUUUAUCUGCUGUUGAACUCUGUUUUUUUUUUUUUUUUUGCUCUUUUUCUCCCUCCUUUUUCUUUUUAUUUAUUUAUUUUCUUUGGGAAAUGGAAUUGAAAUACGUGGGACAAGAAUCGUAUAGGCUUAUUUGAGACAACAAAACAUCCACCCAGUCCCAGUCGCGGACCUGUUAUGGUGAAGGCAAGUUGAUUAAGGACGGUACAGCAGGGCACUUAAUUAUGGCUAGGUUAUAUCCCAACUUGUGGGUAGAAAAAAAAGGGUAAUAUUAAAAUGAGAACCAAUUUAAAAAGCAUUUUUGAAUUUAAUUUAAUUUUAAUUUAUUUGUUAUUUAUAAUUUUGAAGUUAAUUUUAACUUAUUUAUUAAGAGGAAAAAUUAUACUUAUAAGAAGGAUUAAAUGUACAUAAAAAAAAAUAUUCGUAUGUGAAAAGAAAAGAAAUAUUGAAAAAUAGUAAGAAAACUUUAUUUUAGGCAUAACUAAUGAUUGGUUGAAAGUUUUCAUUAUCAUUCUCAUUUGACAUUUCUUUUUACCAUAUAAGUGAUUUGAUUUGAAUGGAAAGUUGGAUACUAGAUCUUUAAGGAUAAGGAAGGAGAUUAAUUUAAUCAGAUUUCUUUUUAUCUCUUUUACUUUUUUAAAUUAAAAGAAAAUAAAAAAAAUAGAGAGAAAAAAAUAAAAGAAAUAAAAAAUAGAUUUAAAAUUAAUAAAUUAUUUUUAUAUAUAUUUUAAAACUCAUUUCACUUAUUUCCUAUAUAAUUUUAAAAUAUAUAAAUUAUUAAUUAAUUUUAAUUAUAUUUAUUUUUUUUAUAAUGAAACUAAAAAUUAAAAAAAAUAUUAUAUAUAAGGGUGGAGGUUAAUUUAAUUACAUCUUUUCUUAAUUUAUUUUAAAUUUUUAUCUGCUUAGUUUUAAUAUUGAGGGAAAAUACUAAAAAAAGAAAAGAAAAAAUAAAAAAAUAAAAAAGAAAAUUAGAAAAUAAUUUUAAAAUUAAUAAAUUAUUUUUAUGUGUUUUUUCAAAGUUAUUUCACAUGUUUCUCUAUGUAAUAUAAGGAUUAAAUAAAUUUUAAAUAUUUUAAAUUUAAUUAUAAUUGAUUUUUUUAUAUAACAAAAUUAAAUAUAAAAAAUCAUUUUUCUUAAUAUUUUAUUUUAUUUUUAUUGUUUUUUGUUUAGUAUGCAGAAGCUCUCAUUCCACUUGUGUCGGCAAAAACAUCAUUGUAAAUAUAUUAAAAGAAAAACAUAAAAAAUAAAGCAAAUCACGUAAAAGGUACACAAAGUUUUAAUAUGAUUUGAUCAAUUAUGACUAUUUUCACCAAUGAGAAAGAACAUUUUAUCAUAUGAUAGAAAAUAUUAUAAAGAACAAAAAUCUAAAAAAAUACAAUUACGAGAUCUCUAUCUUAAAAUAUGAGCCGUUUUACUUCAUUAAAUGUUUUUUUUUUUCAUCACAUUUACUUCCCAGUAAACCCCCUUUCUCUACUAGAUGUAUGUCGUUCUUUCUCAUAUUUUUAUUCCAUCUCUCUCAUAACUUUUUUUUAAAAUAAAAUAUUUAUAAAGAUAUUUCUAUUAACUUCGUAAGAAUCUAAUUAUUAUCACAUAUAAAUUAAAAAAUAUUAUAUAUAAUAUUUCUUUUACAAAUAUAUUCCCCAUCACUUUCCCGCCAAACAUAGGAUAAAUGAUGCUCUUUAUGUCCUAAUCUUUCCAAACUUUCAAGUAUUCUUUUACUUAGAAAUUACAAAUUUGAUACAAAUUGGGCCACCAUUUGAGAGUCCAAUCCCUCCAGCCAGAUUUAUAGGUGAGUUUAACUUGAAUUGAAGAAGUAGGAAUGUAAAAAUACUGGGAUUGACAUGAAUUCAAGAUCAGAAAACCCCCGAAAGCCAAAUCCAGCACAUUAUUGAUUUAUUUUUAUUUUAUUAUAAUAUAAAAAACAUAAAUUAUAAAAAAACAUAAAUUAUAAAAAAACACUAACUUUCUUAAUUUUUAAUUACAUUUUAAUUAUUAAAAUAUCUUUAAUAGUUAUAGUUAAAGUUUGAGCUUAUGAAUAAUUAUUUAUGUUAAAAUAAUAAUUAAUAAUUUACAGUUUUGACACCUUUUUGUUUUUUGACUUGAAGAAAAAAAAUAGUAGUAACUUAUAUAAAAAAUGAAAAAUUUUAUUAAAAAAAAUUAAACUUAUUUCAUGUCUUUAAAAAAUUACUUUUAGAAAUGUAAGUUAAAUAGAUUUUAAAAACUAUAAUUUUUCUUUAAUAUAAGUUGUUAUUUUUUAUAGGUUGAAUAUAACAUGAAAUAGGACAAGAUAAUAUAUCAUAUCUCAUUUUUUAUUGGUAAUAUUAGGGGUGCAACUUGUACGGGUUGGUUUGACCCAAUUGGAACCCAAUCCAAUGUUUGGGUGAACUUAGGCAAAUAUUUCCAUUACUUGAGUUAAACUUGAAUUAAGUUUUUUCAACUCGAAUUCAAUUUGAAUUGGAUCCAAGCUAAGGUUUAAAAAACUCGAGGAUAACUCGAACUUGAUUUAAUAUUUUUAUGAUAUUUAUAAUGUUAAUGUUUAUUAUUUUAAAUGAUAAUAUUCAUUUUCUUUUUAAUUUUGGAAGAAAAAAAUAUCAAAUUAUAAUUAUAUCACACAGUUAUUACUUUUUAAAAAAGAUAUAUAAGUUUAUUUUUACUUUUUUUUAUUAUCUUGAAAUUUUGUGCUAUUUAUUAUUUAAAUUUUGAUAUAAAUAUAUAGAAAAUAAGUUUUUUUAAAAACUAUUAUAGAUGAAUUUUAAAUCUUUCAGCACAAUGAAUCCAAAUAAUUUGAGUCUAACUCAAUCAACUCGAGUUUAACCCAAUCAACUCGAUCAACUUGAGAUCAACUUGAAUUUAGAAAAUAAGGUUAGGCUAGGCUUGGGUUAAGUACUUUGGGUUAGAGGACGAGUUAUGUUAACCUUAACUUGAUUCUUUCUUAAUUUGUGUUGGAUUUGAGUUAGCUAUUAACUCAACCAACUCGCCCAAGUUGCCAUCCAAGUUGCAGCCCCAAGUAAUAUUUUAGGAUAAGUUAUCUUAUCAUAUUUCAUAUAUUAUAUCUUAUAUUUAACAAAAUAGGAUAUUUAACAAAAUAUGCGUUUGGUAUAAAAUAGGUAGUAAGAUACUUUGGUAUAAAAUAGGUAGUAAGAUACUAAGAUAAAAUGUCUUUUUUCUCUUUUUAUUUUUUUUCUUUUAUACAUAUUAAUUUUAAAUAAUACUCUUUAUUUAUUUAUUAUAAUAUCUAAUGGACACUACAAAACGUUGUAUAGAUCACCUAGUAAAAUGAAAAUAUUAAAUCAAAUUAAAAGUGUGUUCAACUAUUAUUUUAGAAAGUAUUUCUAAUUUUUCUAAGAUUUCAGUAUUAAAUAUAUUAGAAGCAUUUCUUAAAAUCAUUGUGAAAUAAACUCUAAUUUAUAUAUUUAAAAAUCACUUUUAUAAAUUUUAAAAUUUAAGUUACUAAAAUUCUUUUGAUGUCUUAAUUUUUUAAAUAAUUUUUAAAACUUUUAUUUAUUUUUAAAUAAAAGGAAAUCUAUUAGUUUUUGGAUCUUCCCAUAUUGUUUACCAUUAACAGCCAUGAGGCGUUACCUCUUUUUUUUUUUUUUUUUAAUCGUGAAGUUCGAUUGACGUGUAAUUCUGCUUAAAAUAAAUUAAGUGUAUGUUUAACAAAAAAUUUUAAAAGUAUUUUUAAUUUAAAAGGUAUUUAAAAAAAAACAUAAGAUGAAAUUACUUAUAAUGUUAUUUGGUGAAACAUUUUAUAGAUAUAUUCUUUUAAAAAAUAUUAAGAAAAUACUUUCAUUUUAAAACAUGGAGAACAUUCUUAAAUGUGCUUUAUUUAAUUUCUAUUUUUUAAAAAAUUAAAAUUUAUUUUUUAAAUAAAAAUAGGAGAAUCCGACAUUUUUAUUAGCUAUAGAAUACUCUUUUUGUAAUAGAAAUGAUAAUAAGAUGAGUUUUUCUUUUGUUUUUCUUUUAUUUUUUAUUUUAUCUAUCCUGCCCUAAUGGAACAUGUUUAAAAUUUAAAUAAAUAAGUUGGAAAUAAGUUUGAGAUUUUUUAAAAAAUAUAUAACAGAUUUGGGUGUUAAGUCCUUAUACUCAUAUUAUGUACAAAAUUAAUUUACUUUAAUUUUAAAUUUUUUAUUUUUAAUAUGUAACAAUAAUAAAAAAUAUUUUUUAAUAUAAUAAAUUAUAAAAAAUUAUAGUAUUUUAAUUAUUUAUAAAAUAUAUUUAUUUUAAUAUAAUAAAAAAAAAGUUAGAUUGAAUGGGCGAGGCAAGAUAAGUAUAAGAAAUUUGCGUACCAUUAAGACUCUCUUCCACAUGCCACGUCUCCAGAACCUUCCCGGUGACACUGCACAACCGUUGGAUCAUACCUGAGGCACGUGUCAGCAGGCAACCCAAGAUCACAUGACCUAUGAAGUUACCAAAUUAUGCUCACCCUCUUCAAUUUUAAAUAUCAUUUAUCGCUUAUUUAAGCCACAAACGCGCCAUCGGCAUCCUCAAUUAAGAAGGAAAGACAACCCAGAGUCAGAUUCUCCAGCCUCAGCUCUCUCUAGAACCGUCGUCUCUCUUCCUUCCCAUCCACUCUAGCACAUUCUCGCUCACAUGGCUCCUGAAAUCAUCUCCGCUUCGGGAAAACCGUCCGGAUUUUUGAAACCGGCUAGUCUUCCGGACAGAGCAUACGUGGCCUUCUUGGCCGGUAACGGGGACUACGUGAAAGGUGUUGUUGGGUUAGCCAAGGGGCUGCGGAAGGUGAAAUCCGAUUACCCGCUUGUGGUGGCGGUGUUACCGGACGUGCCGGUGGAGCACAGCCGAGAACUGGAAUCCCAGGGGUGCAUCGUCAGAGAGAUUGUGCCGGUUUACAAGAACCAGACCCAGUUCGCCAUGGCCUAUUACGUUAUCAAUUAUUCAAAGAUCCGUAUCUGGGAGGUACGUGAUAGUACUUUCUCAUUACCUCUAUCACUAUUUUUGUCAUUUUGCAUGAAUCUUUGCAUGAUUUGUAGAUUUACAUGCCAUUUUUGUAUGAAUCAGUUCGUGGAGUACAGUAAGAUGAUAUACUUGGAUGGGGAUAUUCAAGUCUACGAUAACAUUGACCACCUCUUUGAGCUACCAGACGGACAUUUCUAUGCAGUGAUGGACUGUUUCUGUGAGAAAACAUGGAGUCACACGCCACAGUACAAGAUUGGAGACUGCCAACAGUGUCCGGAAAAGGUUCAGUGGCCGGCGGAGCUGGGUCAGCCGCCUUCACUUUACUUCAACGCAGGCAUGUUUGUGUUUGAGCCCAGCCUCUCCACCUAUGAAGAUCUCUGGGAAACCCUCAGGAUCACCCCUGCAACCCCUUUUGCAGAGCAGGUAAACACAUAAGCUUUUGCUGAUGAUAUUCUUCCAACAUAAUCCGGUUGUGGUUCUGGGAUUUUGUUAUUUAGGAAAAUGUGUAUGUGUUUUUGGCAGGAUUUCUUGAAUAUGUACUUCAGGGAUGUAUAUAAGCCUAUUCCUCUGGUCUACAAUCUUGUCCUUGCCAUGCUGUGGCGGCAUCCUGAGAAUGUAGAGCUUGAUAAAGUGAAAGUUGUUCACUACUGUGCAGCGGUGAGUACCACAGAAGAUUGAUUUUGGGAGAUUAAUUCGUAAGUUAUAACCUGUGGUGGUUAUGUAUACUAAUACAAAUAUUAGUGAAUGGUAUACCAGGGGUCGAAGCCAUGGAGGUACACAGGGAAGGAGGACAACAUGCAGAGAGAGGACAUUAAGAUGCUGGUAAACAAAUGGUGGGAGAUAUACAAUGACAAGUCAUUGGAUUACAAGAAGACGAGGAUGAUGGCGAAUGAUUACAGCAGCGUUUUGCCGGGGGAGCAGGUGAAUUUGGAGCCUUUCAUUGCAGCUCUUUCCGAGGUGGGGCAUGUUGAAUUUGUGAGAGCCCCUUCAGCAGCCUAGAAGAGGCCAGUACUCUCGUGGAGAAGAGGAUCCAAGGGGCAUGCAAUCAGA
rnacentral:lncRNA from 1 species